UUUUGAAGCCACACUUGUAUGGUGGGAGGAAUGACUUCCUCUUGUUCGGGGCUUCCGAGAGAAAGAAUGUUGAGAGUGUUUGGGAAGAGAAAUCUUUGAACAUCCGUCAAUGUGUCUCCUUUAUAAUACAGGUCUCCAGGGAGAAUAUCUUCUGAUGAUUUGUCCAAGACAUUUUCGGGGCAACUAUAGCUGCAAAUGAUCAUCCAUAGGUUCACCUUUCACGUCCU